GCGAGGAUGGCGGAACGGCAGACGCGCUAGCCUCAGGAGCUAGUGGCCGAAAGGCUAUGGGGGUUCAAAUCCCCCUCCUCGCA
rnacentral:tRNA from 1 species